rnacentral:tRNA from 1 species
AAGUAAUUCUUAUACCCUUAAAGAUUUAGUUUAUUCUGUCUACUAUAAUAUUAAAACAUUGA